AUUGAACGCUGGCGGCAUGCUUUACACAUGCAAGUCGAACGGUAACAGGCCGCAAGGUGCUGACGAGUGGCGAACGGGUGAGUAAUGCAUCGGAACGUGCCCAGUCGUGGGGGAUAACGCAGCGAAAGCUGUGCUAAUACCGCAUACGAUCUAUGGAUGAAAGCGGGGGCCCGUAAGGCUUCGCGCGAUUGGAGCGGGCGAUGUCAGAUUAGGUAGUUGGUGGGGUAAAGGCUCACCAAGCCAACGAUCUGUAGCUGGUCUGAGAGGACGACCAGCCACACUGGGACUGAGACACGGCCCAGACUCCUACGGGAGGCAGCAGUGGGGAAUUUUGGACAAUGGGCGAAAGCCUGAUCCAGCCAUCCCGCGUGCAGGAUGAAGGCCCUCGGGUUGUAAACUGCUUUUGUACAGAACGAAAAGGCUCUGGUUAAUACCUGGGGCUCAUGACGGUACUGUAAGAAUAAGCACCGGCUAACUACGUGCCAGCAGCCGCCGUAA
rnacentral:rRNA from 1 species